AGAGUGUUAGCAAAGGUUGUCCACGGCACGUGAACUUCAUUUUGGGGGUUGACUAUGUUUCAUCGCUGUGGCUGUGACACUUUGGUCGGAUAAUAAUGUCUUGUUCAGCGUUGGGUUGCACGGCAAGACACUCAAAGGAAUCGGCAGUUCAGUUUUUCCGACUUCCUUUUGAUGAGGCCAGGCUGAAGCAAUGGUUGGUGAACAUGAGGAGAGAGAGACCAGCAAAUGGAACCACGAAAAGUCACGUCUGCUGUUCACACUUUGAGGAAGAUCAGUUUUUUAGAGACAAGCAGGUAUCCACACUGAAAACUGAAUGAGCAGAGCCUCCAGAAGGAAGACGAGGUGUAUAGAGCCUCCAGAAGGAAGACCUGGUGUAUAGAGCCUCCAAAAAGGAAGACCUGUUGUGUAGAGCGGCG